UACGUAGGGUGCGAGCAUUGUCCGGAAUUAUUGGGCGUAAAGCGCUUGUAGGCGGCACGUCAAGUCGCGUGUGAAAUCCCCAGGCUUAACCUGGGAAGUGCGCGCGAAACUGACGAGCUUGAGUGCCGGAGAGGGUCGCGGAAUUCCCGGUGUAGAGGUGAAAUUCGUAGAUAUUGGGAAGAACACCGGUGGCGAAGGCGGCGCUCUGGACCGAGACUGACGCUGAGGCGCGAAAGCGUGGGGAGCAAACAGG
rnacentral:rRNA from 1 species